UGUAAUACUGCUAGCCUAGGGCAGAUCCCAUUUUUUCCCAAAGCAUAGUACCAUAUCAGAGAUAAGUUAUGCUUCCUUCAUAUGUCCACUCACUAAACUAUGAUAAAAAUAUACAAACACUAUCCUUACCAGUACUAGAACACUGCCGUACUCAGCCCAAACACAUUGAAAAUGGAGAAAAAGCAAACAAUAUUACAUUCUAACUUAUGCUGCCAAAACUGGAACUCUCUUCUGUCCGAUGAAGGCCUGUCUAAGCCCAUGAUACCCAUUUCUGUAAUAUUCGAGUGAGAAACACAAUUGCCUGAUAGCUUCCCGUUUCUCUUCUGCUCCUUCUAGGAUCACAAUUCUUUGCCUUUCAACUUCUUCUUCAAGAUCCUUAGCUUUUGACCUUAACUCAUCCGCCAACUUAGAUGCCUCUUCAGCACCAGUAAUGAGCUUCACUUGCUCCAUAUGUAAUUGCUGUAAAUGCUCGUCUAAUUGAUCAAUCCGACCGUCUCUAGAGAUUACAUCUGUGUUGAGUGCAGUAACUUGCACAUUAAGCUCGUCUCUCUCUAACUUCAAAGCAUCAACGGUUUUAUUCAAAUUUUCUAUGCGAACAUCUUGUUCCUCAAUUUCUUCCUUUAACUGCUUCAUUUCAGAGUCCAGUAGCUCCUCCGUUUCUGACUUUUCUGUCUGUAAUCUUCUAAUUUCAUCCUUUAAAAACCGGCUACGUGAUUCCCAUUCUCUUAGCUGCUCCUCCAAGCGUUUUUGUUCCUCCAACAAUCUACAUAUUUCAGCCUUAAUCUGUGCUUUUUCAGGAAAAAUCUUCUGCUCAGCAUCAGAUACUGCCAUUUUUAAGUCUCUAAUCUCAUGAUCCCUGUCCGAUAAACUAGUUUUCAACCUUGCAAUUCUUUCCAGCAGCUUGGUCACCUCCUUUUUGUCAGCGUUGAACUUGGUUUUCCGUGUGUUAAUGUCUUUGUUAGCUGAUGCAAGAUGAUCCUGCAAAUUGCUGACUUUUUCAGUGUGUCUAUCACUCUCAACCUGAUGCUUCAAAGUAGCAAUUUUAUUCUCCGCAUACAGUAGCUUCUCUUUUGUGAUUUUGAGUUCGUCUGUCAAUGCCUUAAUCCUGCUAUCAGAUUCCACAGUUUCAGCUUCCUUUCUGUCAAUAUUUUCUUGAAGCUGUGGUUCCUGAGCCAUCUCAGGUUCCAGCUCAGCCUCCACUGUCUUAACAUUUUCUUCAGAUGAUAAUGCGAACUCAGGCUGCAAACGAUUGGUGGAUUCCAGCGAUUUAUACUUCUG
rnacentral:misc_RNA from 1 species